rnacentral:rRNA from 1 species
GGGCUGGUUUUCCAGGCAAAUCCGGAAAAUCAAGGCUGAGGCGUGAUGACGAGGCACUACGGUGCUGAAGCAACAAAUGCCCUGCUUCCAGGAAAAGCCUCUAAGCAUCAGGUAACAUCAAAUCGUACCCCAAACCGACACAGGUGGUCAGGUAGAGAAUACCAAGGCGCUUGAGAGAACUCGGGUGAAGGAACUAGGCAAAAUGGUGCCGUAACUUCGGGAGAAGGCACGCUGAUAUGUAGGUGAAGCGACUUGCUCGUGGAGCUGAAAUCAGUCGAAGAUACCAGCUGGCUGCAACUGUUUAUUAAAAACACAGCACUGUGCAAACACGAAAGUGGACGUAUACGGUGUGACGCCUCCCCGGUGCCGGAAGGUUAAUUGAUGGGGUUAGCGCAAGCGAAGCUCUUGAUCGAAGCCCCGGUAAACGGCGGCCGUAACUAUAACGGUCCUAAGGUAGCGAAAUUCCUUGUCGGGUAAGUUCCGGCCUGCACGAAUGGCGUAAUGAUGGCCAGGCUGUCUCCACCCGAGACUCAGUGAAAUUGAACUCGCUGUGAAGAUGCAGUGUACCCGCGGCAAGACGGAAAGACCCCGUGAACCUUUACUAUAGCUUGACACUGAACAUUGAGCCUUGAUGUGUAGGAUAGGUGGGAGGCUUUGAAGUGUGGACGCCAGUCUGCAUGGAGCCGACCUUGAAAUACCACCCUUUAAUGUUUGAUGUUCUAACGUUGACCCGUAAUCCGGGUUGCGGACAGUGUCUGGUGGGUAGUUUGACUGGGGCGGUCUCCUCCUAAAGAGUAACGGAGGAGCACGAAGGUUGGCUAAUCCUGGUCGGACAUCAGGAGGUUAGUGCAAUGGCAUAAGCCAGCUUGACUGCGAGCGUGACGGCGCGAGCAGGUGCGAAAGCAGGUCAUAGUGAUCCGGUGGUUCUGAAUGGAAGGGCCAUCGCUCAACGGAUAAAAGGUACUCCGGGAUAACAGGCUGAUACCGCCCAAGAGUUCAUAUCGACGGCGGUGUUUGGCACCUCGAUGUCGGCUCAUCACAUCCUGGGGCUGAAGUAGGUCCCAAGGGUAUGGCUGUUCGCCAUUUAAAGUGGUACGCGAGCUGGGUUUAGAACGUCGUGAGACAGUUCGGUCCCUAUCUGCCGUGGGCGCUGGAGAACUGAGGGGGGCUGCUCCUAGUACGAGAGGACCGGAGUGGACGCAUCACUGGUGUUCGGGUUGUCAUGCCAAUGGCACUGCCCGGUAGCUAAAUGCGGAAGAGAUAAGUGCUGAAAGCAUCUAAGCACGAAACUUGCCCCGAGAUGAGUUCUCCCUGACUCCUUGAGAGUCCUGAAGGAACGUUGAAGACGACGACGUUGAUAGGCCGGGUGUGUAAGCGCAGCGAUGCGUUGAGCUAACCGGUACUAAUGAACCGUGAGGCUUAACCUC